CUCUGAAUAACCAAUGGCUUUCCCACUGGACUUGUGGCCAAAGCCUGCCCAGGAAUGAUCAAGCAUGUGUUCCUCAGCAAGAUGUGGUCCUCAGCAUUCCAGAGUCACCUGAGCUGCUGUCCCACGUGGUUUUCCUGGAGUGCAUGUUCUUCACACCAGGAAUUUGUGCUUCUCCUGCAGUGCACACCCCACAGAUACAAACACACGAGGGUCUUUUGAAGAACAGCAGUUGCUGCUCCUCAAAGGAAAGAAAAAGAAGCCUUUGCAGAAUCUGAAAAUAUUGGAAUACAUCCUGCAAUUUCCUGGACUUUAUGCUGCCU